UCCCUGGUGGACUAGUGGCUAGCAUGCAGCGCUCUCAUCGCUGUGCUCUGGGUUUGAUUCCUGGUCAGGGAA